GAGGGGAGGGGCUGCGUCCAGAGCAGAGCGGCCUCAGGCAGAAAUACUCCUCGUUGCUGCAACAUCAGUAACGAUUUGUGAAUCUAGCUAUGUUGACGACUCUGUUGAAAUCAGAGCAGCUAACUGAUAAGAUUAAACGUGUGCUCACUCCUGAUCGGUGCAGCCUGUGUGACCGUACAAGAUCUGGAAACUUCUGUGACGCAAAAUGUGUUGAAGGAGGCCAGCCAGCUGACUUGUGUACCACAACAUCUCCUGCAACACAGCUGGUGGUAGGAGCAAUUGGAUGUAUUCUGUACAGAAAGAGGAAGCGAUCAACCUUGCAAAAAAUGAUCAGAGAGCUCUAUGAGCAGCCUGCAGACAAUCUGCUUAAAGUUGAUCUUCCUCCUGUCUGGGUAAAGUCGACAUCAAAAGAGACUCUUCCUUAACCUCACCAAGAAACGUGGUCUCAUUAUUUGUCUGUCCAGGUAAGAUAUUUGGUUAUGUAUUUAAAAUCCCUGUUCUAAUGAGCUGCAAAUUCUUCUGAGACCAAACACUUUAGCCUUUGCUUUUGCUUUUCAAGCUCUUCCCAGAAUUAGUAUUUCCUUGUUAUUGCAUCUCCUGGGACGCUCAGUGACUGAGUAUACACUCUUUAUAUUGGUACUGCUGUACAUCUGAUUUAUAUCUGAUUUGCAUAAGCUUUUUUUUUUGGUUUUUUUUUUUUGUUUGUUUUUUGAGUGCUGCUCAUGGCAAGACACUCUCCCAAGUGUUAGGGAGCAGCACAGGGCUCAAGGUCCUAAAGGACAGCACAGGGCAUCAGGGGAAUGGAAAUUCACUGAGGUCUGAGCACUACACCCUUCAGAGCUAGCUGCUUCAUGGAUCAUACGGAGAUAGGCAAAAAUAACAUCUCUGCAGACGCCACUCAUCUCUGUAGUACCAGAUAUAAAUUAUGACAGUAAUAAGUCAAUAGAAUCUGAACUGAAAUCCCACUUUAGUCUUCAAUGCUAUAUCUGCUUAUAGAAGUGCACCUAUUACUCUGCUAGAAUAUUCAAAAUGAGAACCUGACUUAGAACAAAAAUGGUAAUGCAUGUUUAGUAUCACUUAGCUCAGGGUAGGCUGCUACAGUAGUAAGGAGAGCCAGAGAAUAUUCAGCAAUGCAAAAAUAAUAGAAUGUUGGAAAAAGUCUUGGUUGAAAGCUACUGAGAAUAAAGAAAUUUUCAGAACAGCCAGAGAAUUUGAACAAAGUCAUUUCCAAUACAAUAUUUAAUAAAUAUCAUACCAGGAGUUACAAAGUGCAGAAGCAAACACAAAAUGCUUCUAUUGCUAUAUAUGAGAUAAUUGUUUAUGCUCAGGUGUCCCAUAAUCUUCACUAUUUGACUAAUUUAGCAGCCUGUGGUUUUUUAGGUCAGAAUUCUCCACUGAUCAUUACAGUUUGAAUGUCUUAGAGAAAUGCUGUUGCACUGAGAAGGAUUAGUCCCACUGGCUGCAGAAGACCCAACCAUGGUGGACUGACCUGUCAGUAAUGGAUGUGAAUUGGAAUGUACACAGAUUCUGUGGUGACACAGGUCCGUGGCCAAUUGGAGCCAGAUGUCAUGAGAUGGUUGAUAGGGGCCCAAAGUAUCCCUUUAUGCAGGAGGGACAGAUUUGGAAGAUCAUUUACUUGAGGUGCUUUUGGAUUGCUUAAGAAAAGGAAGAAUUUGGUUCCAAUAUAUAGGAAUUGUCAAAGGAGAGAAAAAAGAAGAAACAGUUAGUUCCUGACUAGGAAUAAUACACAACUCAGGGAAUAUCUGAGCUACUACUUCCUCCAGUGGAAAAAAAAAUAUUGCCCUGAAUAAUUAUUCUUGCUUUACCAGAGUAAAUUCACUGGAAAAUUUUAAAGCUUCAACAAGCGGAUAUGUGGGUCAAAUCUAUUUUUGCCAGUCACAGAACACAUUUCUCUUAGUAGGCUGCAAUUGAAUAGGCAGAAAUUUGUUCAUUCUGUAGUGUGAUCACCUGUGUGGUCUUUGGCAAUUUUUAAUCCCCAAAACACCAGAUCAGUGGAAAAUUGGGGAAAAAAACCCGCUGAUGACAGAAUAAUAAAACACCUUCAGAAAAAGGUUGUGUCACCAGAUACUACUUCUACUUAAUGUUCUGCAAUUGUAGGUGAGCACUGAGAAAGCAGCUGGCACCUUCAGACAUCUGAGUUGGUGUCAAAUUGAGAACGUGAACAUUUGUACAGUGGGAGCUCACACAGGGUGAAAGAGGAAAAGGGGGAAAGCUAAAUGAAGGAGCAGUGAGAUUUGGUGUUCUGCUGCCACUGCAGGAACAUGCUACAGUGGACUGUGAGGAUUUGAUCACAGUUAUGGAGCCAAGAAGAUGUAUUCACAACUGUUAAACAGAUGUAUAUACUGUCAUGUUUUGGGGCUGUAAGGUGAAAUUUUAUAGCAAGGAGUUAAAAUAGUAGAUAGUAUGUGAGGAGGUUCAAAUGGUUUUUAAGCUCCAUAAACCUUGUUUUUCAGGUAGAAUUUAGUGAGCGUUGAGAGGUGCAAAGAAAACAGGAUUUGAAACUAGAACUAGGUUUUUGUUUUAACAGGUACAGGAGAUGCUACCAAAGCUGACACAGUUACCUUCUGCAAGUUAGUAACUUUGCUGGAAGUGUUAAGGUGUUUGGUAGCAUCUCUCGAUCACAACAUAUCAGUUCUAACAAGACAGAUUGAAGACUUGGCAGAUUUUAAUGGUGACGUCUGAGGAGGAGAGCUGAGAAAGUUAAGUGUUGCCAUGAGCUCACAAGCUUCCUCAGAAGGGCAAAACAUAGGGUCAGAGGGGAAAGGUUCAUCUUGUCAUCACUGCUUUCUAACAUGUAGCCACUUCCUGUUGCUUCUGAGAACAGUGAAUAAUAAAUGAACUUGAAUUUGGGCAAAGCUUCAAGAUUUUUAUUGAAUGGUAUGUAACUAAUAAACAAGAUUAUAUACUGUCUGUA